UCCUAUUUUCGUGCUCGAUAAUAAAUCUCUCCUGCAUUUUUCUUUCCCUCUCAGAUCUUUUUUCUCUUUCAAACAUCCCUGUAUAUCUCUCUCGCUCUUUCUUGUUUAAUUAUUUUUCGUCUUUUACGACGAAUUCCUCGAUCGUGUUCGGCCUGGAAAGCCGACCUAGCUUCGAAAGUAUAUGCUCGCACUGUCUCGCUGGUUGCACUGAGAUUUCUCCCAGAUCGUGACGUAUCCCACCAUUAGCAAGUGCGCCACUCGCUGUGUGGAAUGUCGUGUUAAAAUGCGCCAUUUCAACCGACUUUACGUAAGCUCAUACGACCAGACGAAACAGAGAAAAAGCAUAUUAUAUCUUGAGAUUUGCCGUCCUUGCUUCCUGAUCGAUGAUCAAGUGCAAAUUCCCGCGCGCGCGCGCUUUGUUUACAUAUUGCUGCACAAAUAUUACCUUCCCC